rnacentral:rRNA from 1 species
UACGUAGGUGGCAAGCGUUUUCCGGAAUUAUUGGGCGUAAAGCGCGCGCAGGCGGUCUUUUAAGUCUGAUGUGAAAGCCCCCGGCUCAACCGGGGAGGGUCAUUGGAAACUGGGAGACUUGAGUACAGAAGAGGAGAGUGGAAUUCCACGUGUAGCGGUGAAAUGCGUAGAUAUGUGGAGGAACACCAGUGGCGAAGGCGACUCUCUGGUCUGUAACUGACGCUGAGGCGCGAAAGCGUGGGGAGCAAACAGG